rnacentral:rRNA from 1 species
AUUGAACGCUGGCGGCAGGCCUAACACAUGCAAGUCGAACGAGUGGCGGACGGGUGAGUAAUGUCUGGGAAACUGCCUGAUGGAGGGGGAUAACUACUGGAAACGGUAGCUAAUACCGCAUACCAUCGGAUGUCCCCAGAUGGGCUUAGCUUGUAGGUGGGGUAAGGGCUCCACUAGGCGUCGACCCCUAGCGGGUCUGAGAGGAUGACCAGCCACACUGGAACUGAGAAACGGUCCAGACUCCUACGGGAGGCAGAAGUGGGGAAUAUUGCACAAUGGGCGCAAGCCGAAUGCAGCCAUGCCGCGUGUAUGAAGAAGGCCUUCGGGUUGUAAAGUACUUUCAGCGGGGAGGCGUUACCCGCAGAAGAAGCACCGGCUAACUCCGUGCCAGCAGCCGCGGUAAUUC